rnacentral:rRNA from 1 species
AGCGAACGCUGGCGGCGUGCCUAACACAUGCAAGUCGAACGUGAAAGGGAGCAAUCCUGAGUAAAGUGGCGUACGGGUGAGUAACACGUAUGCAAUCUACCUCAGAGUCCGGAAUAACCUGCCGAAAGGCGGGCUAAUACGGGAUAGAGCGACGGAAUCCGUAAUUGGGUUUUUCGGGAAAGGGAGGAAGCAAUUCCCCUCGCUCUGAGAUGAGCCUGCGUCCCAUCAGCUAGUUGGCGGGGUGACGGCCCACCAAGGCGAUGACGGGUAGCUGGUCUGAGAGGAUGAUCAGCCACACUGGAACUGAAACACGGUCCAGACUCCUACGGGAGGCAGCAGUGGGGAAUCUUGCGCAAUGGACGAAAGUCUGACGCAGCCACGCCGCGUGAGUGAAGAAGGCCUUCGGGUUGUAAAGCUCUGUCGGAGGGGACGAAAAGCCAGGAGGUGAAUAGCCUCUUGGACUGACGGUACCCUCAAAGGAAGCACCGGCUAACUUCGUGCCAGCAGCCGCGGUAAGAC